AUACUUUAGAAUUUUGUAUAUUAUGUGAUAUUCAGAAGCGUUAAAUUAGAGUGUAAUAUGAAAUUUUCGAGUUAGGGUUGUCCAUCUGCAAGGGAGAUUUUCUUAAUCUUUUCAGUAAAUUUUCCUUGGAGGUGGUCCCCGCACGACUUACUCUGGGUUUCAGGGUGAAAUUCGGGGUGGGUCGUGUCAAAAUGAGCCAAGGAUCAUCGGUUUUGGUGGCCGGAGGAAAGAGCUCCGGCGAGAGAACCACCACGGCAGCUAGCGGCUCCGGGCGACGUUUCUCUCUCACGGCGGCGCUAGGAGAGGUGCUACGGGCCUAGAAUGGAAGCUAGGUUGGAGACCGAUCGAUUGGGACCGGUGCGGCGGUCUGGGGCGGCCGGACGGCGGCGGUCGGGCGGCCGGAAGGUUUGGCUGCGGGAGGACUCGGGGAGAAACCGGGAGGAGAAGAGAGGAAAAGAGAAUGGGUUUGGGCCUCACACCCCAAACCGGUCCAUCACCUAUAUACUACCCAAUUCUAAAAUAAAACACCCCGAAAAAUAAUACCCAAAUAAAAAUUACAUUUUACUAGCUAAAAUUUACCAUUUUUACCGUUGACAUAAAUUCUCCCACGAAUAAUUCCCCGAAAUUAAUCGUCCCUUUAAAACACCUCUAGGGACUAAUUAAACUAUUACCUCAAUGACGGAGACGGUAAAAUUCUUAUUAUAAUUAAGCUAGUAAAUAAGGUAAAAAUAUAAGGGUUAGGAUGUGACAUAUAUAUAUAUGAUAAAAAAUUUAUAGACCAUCCAAUUCAAUAAGGUAUGUCGAGACUAAUAUUGGAGACUCCUGCUUGAUCGAGUCUUGUCGUGUUUAAGGAAUACGUAAUUUAAUAUAUAACAAUUAAACAAAUGUACAGAUGCGUAACUAUAUAUGUUAGUUCUCGGUUAGUUUUAUGUGGUGAACCAGGCCAAUACACAUAUCAUUAUAGAGUGCGGCUAUUGGGACCUCCAAAUUUGCUCAGUUGACCUCACUCGAUUAUGAAUUAUUAAAUGACAUAUUUAUCCUCUUACACAAUAACUAUUAAGGACACUAAUUAAACAAAAAGUAAUAUUACAUUUAUUCUCUCUAAACCUUCUAAUUCAAUAAUAAUGGAUUACAUUUUAUUAUUUUCCUUAUUGAUUUUUAUUUUGUAGUUUUACCACAUACUUAUUAAAGCAUUUAUAUAUUUAUAUUAUCAUACAUGUCACAUACAUAUACAAAGUGAAAAAAUAUUUUUACAAAAAUUAUGAUCUAUCAAUUAUUAAAAUACAAAAGUAACAAAAACAUAAAAUAGUUCAUGUAUAUUCAUUCUUUUGAUGAUCAAUAAAUAAAAUUUGAGACACAAUCCUUCUUUUUAUUUUUAAUUUUUAAAAGAAUAGUAUUCUUUAUGAUUCGAAUUACCUUUUCUAAAAAAUUGAUGUCAUUGAAAAUUAUUUCUUACAAUUUGAUCAAAAAAUGAAUGUCUAGUGACAUUUUAUGCAAAAUAAAAAAUACAAAAAAUAAAGAAAAUCAAGAAAUCAAGGUCGGGAAUGGAGGUUUGCGUUAAAAAGAAAAAAAAAUUAAAGAAUGUAAGUCGGGAAUGGAUGUUCGCAUUCAAAAAGAAAAAGAAAAAAAGAAUUAGAGGUAUAGUGAGUGAAUAAGAGGUGUAAUGAGUAAUAUAUUAAUAUAUAUGUGAAUUACAUAAACAAGGCUAUUUUAGGAAUUUGAAAAGAGGUUUAAUGAGCAAAUGCUUGUAUUUAAAAAUAAAACGGAGGUGUAGAGAGAAUGAGAGGUGUACUGAGCAAAUUUAGAGGUCCCAAUAGCCGCACUCUUAAUAAGAAUUGAAAAACAAAUAUCAAAACUACAUAAAAAAAAGUGGAUAUGAAAUACCAAAAAGCAAUGAACUUUCCUACCCUAGUAAUCUUACAACACUUCACGAAUCAGGCCUAAGACCUACAUCGGUGUAUCUUUCAUUGUUAAGAAGCGGGAUAAGACAAACAAGGGUUCAGAAGGGAUCCUUCUCCCCCUUAAUCCCAAACAUAGCAGCUAGCCCAC
rnacentral:lncRNA from 1 species